AUAGGUCAAGCUACAAAGGGCGCAUGGUGAAUGCCUUGGCAUCAGGAGCCGAUGAAGGACGCGAUAAGCUGCGAUAAGCUUCGGGUAGACGCACAUAGUCAGAGAUCCGAAGAUUUCCGAAUGAGGAAA
rnacentral:rRNA from 1 species